UGAGGAAUAUUGGUCAAUGGGCGAGAGCCUGAACCAGCCAAGUAGCGUGCAGGAUGACGGCCCUAUGGGUUGUAAACUGCUUUUAUAUGGGAAUAAAGUGAGGGACGUGUCCCUUAUUGCAUGUACCAUACGAAUAAGGACCGGCUAAUUCCGUGCCAGCAGCCGCGGUAAUACGGAAGGUCCAGGCGUUAUCCGGAUUUAUUGGGUUUAAAGGGAGCGUAGGCCGUUUGGUAAGCGUGUUGUGAAAUGUAGGAGCUCAACUUCUAGAGUGCAGCGCGAACUGUCAGACUUGAGUGCGCACAACGUAGGCGGAAUUCAUGGUGUAGCGGUGAAAUGCUUAGAUAUCAUGAAGAACUCCGAUUGCGAAGGCAGCUUACGGGAGCGCAACUGACGCUGAAGCUCGAAGGUGAGGGUAUCGAACAGG
rnacentral:rRNA from 1 species